ACUACCACUUGCUAUAUUAUCUCAUGAGAUGAGUGCUCUAAAAAAAGAAGAAAUAUGACGAAAUAAAAAGGGGCAAGUGCCCGGAACCUCGAAAGAACAGAAAAAGUGAGACGAGAGGUAAAAAUGGACAAGUGUCCGACAAUAGAAUUAGGGGUACAAGAUACCCACCUGAGAUUAAAGAAAAAGAAAAUACAGGGCAUCUCAUUCUCCUCAAAGUUUCAAAAGAUCAAGAAAAGUAUGUAUCCCCUCAGAAGAGCACAAGUAGAAUUAGACUUUAACCAUUGUUAUCACCAUCAUCACCAUACUCCAUUCAUUCGCCAC
rnacentral:lncRNA from 1 species